CCUAGGGUGGCAGCAGUGGGGAAUAUUGGACAAUGGGCGAAAGCCUGAUCCAGCCAUGCCGCGUGUGUGAAGAAGGCCUUCGGGUUGUAAAGCACUUUCAGUGGGGAAGAAAGCCUUGGGGCUAAUACCCUCGAGGAAGGACAUCACCCACAGAAGAAGCACCGGCUAACUCCGUGCCAGCAGCCGCGGUAAUACGGAGGGUGCGAGCGUUAAUCGGAAUUACUGGGCGUAAAGCGCGCGUAGGCGGUCUGAUAAGCCGGUUGUGAAAGCCCCGGGCUCAACCUGGGAACGGCAUCCGGAACGGUCAGGCUAGAGUGCAGGAGAGGAAGGUAGAAUUCCCGGUGUAGCGGUGAAAUGCGUAGAGAUCGGGAGGAAUACCAGUGGCGAAGGCGGCCUUCUGGACUGACACUGACGCUGAGGUGCGAAAGCGUGGGUAGCAAACAGGAUUAGAUACCCUAGUAGUC
rnacentral:rRNA from 1 species